rnacentral:rRNA from 1 species
CUUGACAUCCAGCGAACUUGGCAGAGAUGCCUUGGUGCCUUCGGGAACGCUGAGACAGGUGCUGCAUGGCUGUCGUCAGCUCGUGUUGUGAAAUGUUGGGUUAAGUCCGCAACGAGCGCAACCCUUAUCCUUUGUUGCCAGCGAUUCGGUCGGGAACUCAAAGGAGACUGCCGGUGAUAAACCGGAGGAAGGUGGGGAUGACGUCAAGUCAUCAUGGCCCUUACGAGUAGGGCUACACACGUGCUACAAGGGCGCAUACAAAGAGAAGCGACCUCGCGAGAGCAAGCGGACCUCAUAAAGUGCGUCGUAGUCCGGAUCGGAGUCUGCAACUCGACUCCGUGAAGUCGGAAUCGCUAGUAAUCGUGGAUCAGAAUGCCACGGUGAAUACGUUCCCGGGCCUUGUACACACCGCCCGUCACACCAUGGGAGUGGGUUGCAAAAGAAGUAGGUAGCUUAACCUUCGGGAGGGCGCUUACCACUUUGUGAUUCAUGACUGGGGUGAAGUCGUAACAAGGUAAGCGUAGCGAG